rnacentral:rRNA from 1 species
UGGGGAAUAUUGCACAAUGGGGGAAACCCUGAUGCAGCGACGCAGCGUGCGGGAUGACGGCCUUCGGGUUGUAAACCGCUUUCAGCAGGGAAGAAGCGCAAGUGACGGUACCUGCAGAAGAAGUACCGGCUAACUACGUGCCAGCAGCCGCGGUAAUACGUAGGGUACGAGCGUUGUCCGGAAUUAUUGGGCGUAAAGAGCUCGUAGGUGGUUGGUCACGUCUGCUGUGGAAACGCAACGCUUAACGUUGCGCGUGCAGUGGGUACGGGCUGACUAGAGUGCAGUAGGGGAGUCUGGAAUUCCUGGUGUAGCGGUGAAAUGCGCAGAUAUCAGGAGGAACACCGGUGGCGAAGGCGGGACUCUGGGCUGUAACUGACACUGAGGAGCGAAAGCAUGGGGAGCGAACAGGAUUAGAUACCCUGGUAGUCCAUGCCGUAAACGUUGGGCACUAGGUGU